rnacentral:rRNA from 1 species
AACGUAGGUUCCGAGCGUUAUCCGGAUUUACUGGGCGUAAAGCGCGUUCAGGCGGUUUGGCAAGUCGGGCAUGAAAUCCUUCGGCUCAACCGGGGGAGGUUGUCCGAUGCUGCUGAACUGGAGGGCAGUAGAGGGUGGUGGAAUUCCGGGUGUAGUGGUGAAAUGCGUAGAGAUCCGGAGGAACACCAGUGGCGAAAGCGGCCACCUGGACUGCACCUGACGCUGAAACGCGAAAGCUAGGGGAGCGAACGGG